rnacentral:rRNA from 1 species
UACGAAGGGGGCUAGCGUUGUUCGGAUUUACUGGGCGUAAAGCGCACGUAGGCGGAUUGUUAAGUCAGGGGUGAAAUCCUGGAGCUCAACUCCAGAACUGCCUUUGAUACUGGCAAUCUAGAGUCCGGAAGAGGUGAGUGGAACUCCUAGUGUAGAGGUGGAAUUCGUAGAUAUUAGGAAGAACACCAGUGGCGAAGGCGGCUCACUGGUCCGGUACUGACUCUGAGGUGCGAAAGCGUGGGGAGCAAACAGG